UAGUGUCCAGUGAUGUGAAAAUUCACAGUACCUUGAAUUUUGCCUUAUUUCCAAUACUAUAUCAUUCAUUUUUCUGGUACUGUCUUUUAGGCUACACUUGGGAAAACCAUCAUACUGAAGGCCAUUGUCAAAGUUUGAGAAAACAUGAAAGGGGAAUGGUCUAGCAAUUCAUCGAGCCUGUGCAUCAUCCCCCAGUGGUUCUGAUCCCUGCUCUGCCUUGGCCUCCACUUGGCCCUAGCUGCUCCAGUGUCUUCCUGAAGUUCUUCAGGUCCCAGUCUGGGUGCCAGAUUGUUGCAAGCCAUCCAGUGGCUCAUAUGGACGGGGUCCACCUGAGUGGCAGGCCGGCGCUGACAGAAAGGAAAACUAGGCAGACAACAGAGAAAUGGAGCCAAAACAAUGUUCUGAUCAAGGUUCAAAUGUUUAAUGACAAAUGCACUUAUAAAGGAGGGGGUAGGCCCAUUCCCACCCAUUCAUUCUUGGCGCCUGAAACCAGUUGCAGGUGAUUAUGUUCAGGAUAGGGCAUAGUCUCUGGAAUAGCUCCGGGCCUUUCAGCAGGUAGCAGUAUCUUGAAGAGGAACAGUGACAGUGGCUUAACAAUUGAGUGAUCUAGGGAGGAAGGCUCCACCCUAGGUAAUGUCCAUAGUAGCAGCAAGGUCAAGGUCUGGCUCAGCCAGCUUCAGGCUGAGGGAAGGUUACACAGCAAGUUCAGGAUCACUUAUUCAAAUAAUGGGGAAUAAGAGGAUCCAUGGAUGUGUCUGCCCAGUUAUGAAGACUUCUCUCUCUUUCUCUCUCUCUCUGCCACCAUGUGGUUGCUGGGAUUGGAACUCAGGACAUUUGGUAGAGCAGUCAAUGCUCUUAAUAACUGAGCCAUCUCUCCAGCCUUGGGAGUCUUUUCACAUGAAGAACCCAAAAACACACAAGAUGUGAGAGUACAGUGAGGGGCAGAAAUAAGAGCACAGAAAUGGGGCGGCUGAGGUGGGAAAGUCAUGAGUUCUAGGACAACCUGGAUUCCAUAGCGAGACCUCAGCUCAAAAAUCCAAGAUCAGAGACCAAGUCUGAUCUCCCAGACCCACAUGGUGAAAGGGAAGAACCGACUCCCAUAAGUUGACCUCUGGCCUCCAUCUGUGUUUACAACCGCAGCAGUCUGGGGACCUGACAAUCACAUCAGGAGUCCAAGGCCAUUCCUAGCUACAUACUGAGUUUGAGGCCAGCCAGGUUUCCAUAGUGAGACCCCGUCACAAAAACAAAUCGUGACAAUUGUCAUAGAAAGUACUAAUUAGGACUUGGUGGUUAAGAGCACUGGUGGCACUUCCAGAGGACCUGAGUUCAAUUCCC